ACAUGUUUUGACUGCUUGUAAUAUGAUGCUUGUUUUUCUACAGUCUCAUCAACAGCAACCUGAUGCAAGUUUUGGGUUAGCCCGGCCCCGGUGAGGGGCAGGGGCCAUGCCUGCACCCUGCCUGCUCAGAGUUGAGCAUAAAGUGUGAUGGGCUGUGAGAGCCGCACAUAUUUCAGUUGGCAGGAGUGCAGGCAUAGAGAACCAAGGUGGGCUUGAGUGGAUGGAUCAAUUCUAUGGACACCUGCAUCAUCCAUUCCCCCCUUCCUUGGUUGCAAUGGAAGCUUCUCCCAUCCAUGAUGAAUGAUGAAGAAGCUCCACGUUUCUGGAAAUAUAUCUAAAUCAGCUCUUUUGAGAGCUUUGUUUACCCCAUAUGAUGACGAAGAUGAUGAUCUAGAAGAAUUUUAACAGAGCUGGGAAAGUAUGUGCUCUGCUUGGAUGAAGGCUUUGGUAGUUUGUUUAGAGAGUAAGCAGCACAAUGAAGAGCCAGAGGGAGUGCGAAUAGGAAGAUAAAGCUAUUUGUAUGCCUCUGGGAGCUUUGGUCUACAUCCAGGUUGUUCUGACAAAAGAUCUUAUAGUUUACUUUUAAAGCUUUACUAAAACAAUCUGCAGAAAAAAAUAAAAAAAAAAGUCAUUCUGCAUCAUGUAUCAUAUAACACUUUGGUCUGCAUUUAUUUAUUUUUAUGACCACCUUUGUUUUAUUUGAAUGUGAUAAUUAUCUGUUGUAGCAAUUCUAAAACCCUCGCCAGGUCUGUGGGUCGUUAAAUUGUGUGCACUCUAGACAUGUUGU